GAGCUAGACUCCGUCUCAAAAAAAAAAAAAAAAAAGAAAAUUUUGUUUUGCUUUUUGUAGACUAUGGAUAUGCAUAUGCAUAUCCUAACUGGGAAUUCUAAAGUGGAAAGGAAAAUACUAUGACAAAACUUCAUACUGUCCCAUUGUCUGAUAGCUCUGAGAUCAUACUUUUAAAGCUUACAGGACUUUAAAAUACGAACGUCAAAGUGAAACAACUGAUGUACCUGCAAAACUAGCACCUAGCUGGACCCUUUCUGGGUGCGUGCAGUGUCAGCUCUUUUUAUGUUGUGUUUUAAGUUUUUUAUCCUGGUAUUGCAUUAAUCGUGAUCCAAUGGUUUCCUUUUAUUCUUCGUCUCAAUUUUUUUUUUGUCCUUAAGGCUACUGUGGACUUUUUAGCAAUUUGUUGUAGUUGUUGACUAUCGGCAUAUUCACCAACAGAAGUGAAACUCUUCAUAUGACAAUUAUAAAUUAAAGUGACUAAGGAGUUGAAAUUAGAACAGAAUGCAAUGUGCAGAUUAGCUCUGGCUUUUUCCUAGUAUCCCAUUAGAAUGUUAGAAGUUAUAAUGAUUACAUAUUUCAUCAUCACAUAUCUUUCGAAAUGAAGAGUAGAAUCUUAAAUGACUCUGGACUGUAGUACAGAAGCAAGGUGCCAUUUGUUUUCUUCAGUACUGGUGCUAAAUUUACCAAGAUUUACCAUCUUGCUUAGUGAACACUAGGUGGUGCUCUUGGUAAGCCAAACUUCUGGCUGAGCCAAGCCAAGUGGAUAAAAGAAACUUGCGACAACUGGAACACUAAUUACCAGUUGAUUCAUAGAUAGGAAAGAACAAGUUAUGAUCUCAAGUUCUGUGAGGGGACACGGCAGGCCAAGAAUGUGUGCUUGUUCAAACAAGGACUGAUCUACAGAACACUUUAGUCUCCCUAAACCUGUUUUCAAGCAUUUCACCUUUCACUCUAAACAUGUAACAUAGUAGUCUCCUGCAAGAAAGAAACUGGUACCCAGACAGGGCAAAACAAGAUCAUGCUCAACCGGCUAUCUAUCUUCUAGACAAGGCAAGACCUGUACUUUUGUACUGUUUCUUAUAGUACUCUAAACUAUGUCUUUUUGCCUCUACCUGAGAGGUCUGAAAGAGCCAACAGGCAGCUUUUGGAUUCUUGGUGUUAAGUGAAUGUUAGGGCUGGGUAUUCUCAUGUUCCAUGGUUAUACACCUUUGCAAAAAAAAACACCUGAACACUGACUCUUCUCUAUACUUCUGAAGAAUCAAAGUUAUAGGUAUAUUUUCAAGCUAGAAUACUCUUGAGACCUAAAUCAUUUCCAGGUUGUAAGCAUUCCUGGUAAACUAAAUAUAUGAUAACCUGGAUUUGCAUGAAAACUGGGAGGGUAUUUUUUUUUUUAAACAAAAGAUUUCUCAUAGUACUCAUAUAUGUAUUUGUACGCCUUUAAAAUAAUUCAGUAGGUAAAUAUUGGCUGGGCACGGUGGCUCACACCUGUAAUCCCAGGUCUUUGGAAGGCCGAGGCGGGUGGGUCCCUUGAGGCCAGGAGUUUGAGACCAGCCUGGGCAACAUGGUGAAACUCCGUUUCUACUAAAAAUACAAAAAUUAGCCGGGCGUGGUGGUGGGCGCCUGUAAUCCCAGGUACUCGGGUGGCUGAGGCACGAGAAUUGUUUGAACCUACGAGGUGGAGGUUGCAGUGAGCCGAGAUCGCGUCACUGCACUCCAGCCUGGGCGACAGAGCAAGACCCUGUCUCCAAAAAAUAAAUAAAUAAAUUAUAUAUAUAUAUAUAUAUAUAUAUAUAUAUAUAUAUAUAUAUAUAUAUAUAUAUAAAAUUUGUGUGUAUACAUAUGCAUACCUACACACGUCUAAGUGGCUUUAUUUUUAUAUGGACCCACAUAAGUUUGUUGUUAACACCAAACAGCCACCUUCAUGGGAUCCAUGUGCAGAGGCUGGAGCCCAGCUUCUCCACAUGACGUGAGUCACCCGAAUUGUUGGGUUUGUAGAUUGGUCUCACUGAUGUACGGGAUUUCAUUGUGCAACUAUACCACAAGGGAGCACGUGUGUGUGUCAUACUUUCUAACCCUUCGUAACUGUUCUGUUCUUGGCUGCUUCCCUACCUUUUUUGCAAUGCCCUUCAUUAUAUUUCCACUUGGUCACCUUGUAGCUUAAAUUAAUUCAUCUUUUUCAAUUUCUUUGCUGAGUUACUUCAACUUUUCUCAGCUUCCUCUGUUUUUUCCCCCCCUUUGGUCCAUUUUUGUUUUGAGAUUUAAAUUUCUAAUUUCACGUUAAUUUUUAUUUCUGCAAAGGCCUAUUUAAUUCAUACUAGAUAUUGGUAGUUUUCUUCUGCCUGUGGUUGAGAAUUUUCAUCAGCUGUAAUUGAUUCUCAUUUUUUCUUCUAGUAGUUUUUAUGGAUGUUAUCUUCCUUUUUCUGCUCAUAUUAAAAGGUUUUAUUUUCCUUGUCUUGCAAAACCAGUUGGUUCUCUGCAGGCAGGGACAAGGGGUUUGUGUGGCCGAGUUCCUUGAUUCAGGAAUGUUCUGUUGAUAGAGUUAAAUGGUACCAGUUAAGUGCUGGCAGUACAUGUGCGAGCCACCAUACCUGGUCUGUCUUUUCCUUUCUACUGCCACUCUAGGACCCUGCUGCCCCACGUCUUUACCCUCUAGUUUCCACCUGACUCUCAGCCCUCACGAGGGUUCUGACGCUGGCUCUAGUGUCAGAUGUGCUUUUCUCUGCCUCCACGUAAAUUGAAGUUUUUUGGCCAAGCGUGGUGGCUCAAUCCUGUAAUCCUAGCAACUUUGGGAGACUGAGGGGGACAGGAUCGUUUAAGCCCAGGAGUUCAAGACCAGCCUGGGCAACAUAGGGAGACCUCGUCUCUACACAAAGUAAAAAAAAUUACCCAGGCAUGGUGACAGGUGCCUGUAGUCCCAGCUACUCGGGAGGCUGAGGUGGGAAGAUCGCCUGAGCCUGGGAAGUCGAGGCUGCAGUGAGUCCCGAUCAUGCCACUGCACUCCAGCCUGGGUGGCAGAGCAAGACCUUGUCUCAAAAAAAAAAAAAAAAAAAAAAGACAAAGUUGGAUUUUUUUUCUGUCUCAUAGAUAUGCUGCAGGCACAGAUUAUGGUGACUGCUGUCUUUUGUCUUUAUGGUUUUUGGAAGACUACGAUAGAGCUUUAGAUUUAGGAAGCAGCCAAUAUUCCUUGGAAAACCAGAAACUCAAGUACCUUCCUCUUAAAUGUAAACACACAAGCAAGAGGUACCAGACAUUUAAGGAAAACUUCUAGCAUGAAAGAAAAAAAAUUGAAACAGAAAAAAGUUAAAUACUGUAUCAAUUAAGAGAUUAUUACAUAUAUUUUCUUAAAUUCGAGAACAAAAAAGAGCUCCUGAAAUUUAGGAACCUGACAACAGACACCAUAUACUCACCAGAAGAAUGGGAAAACAGAUGUCCCCAGUCAAGACAGAUACACAGUAACUAGAGAAGAAAAUAGGUUCAAACCAGUAGAGGUCCUGCCUGGACAAAGGAGUGCCAGAAAGAGAGAACAGAGAAUGGAUGGAGAAAAUUUAAAUGUCCCAAAAUGGUGGGGUGAUUUUACAGUCUGCAUUCCUAGCACAGAGGUUGACAAGUGGCACACAUUAAAGCACACUAUAAAACUAUGGCGCCCUGGGGAUAAGAAUAUUCUAUGAGCUUCCACAAAGAAAAAGAUUACAUAUAAAGAAUCAGAAAUAAGAAUGGCUUCAGAUUUCUCAGUAUCUACACACUGGAACCUAGAACCAGUGAGGCAAUGCUUUCAAAAUUCUGGAACAUGAUUUCCAAAGUUACCAAUGAAAUGUGGUGGUAAAACAAAGAUAUUGGUCUCAGAAAAUUUACCAUCCAUACAUUUCUACAGGAAGUAUUAGAGGGCAUGCUCCAUUCAGUAAACCAAGAAAGAUGAAGACAUGGGAUCCAGGAAACAGGAGAGCUGACCGAAGAGUGGUGAAGGAAAUCUCUAGAACACAGGUGAAGGGAGACCCAAGAAAGACAGCUGUGCCCCAGGCGUUAAGAGCAACCAGUCCAGAUUGGUGCAAGUUAGAAGCCACAGGGAACAAACGAAAAAUCAAGACAUUAAGGGAAAAAGAUUUCUUACAAUCUCCAGCUACAACCUGCUUAGCUUGCUACUCAGUACGUGAAUUAGGAUGCAGGCAACACACCUCAGAAGGCAGGAAGAAAAAAGGCACAGCUGAUAAUCAAGUCGUUAGAGUCAACCAUCAUUACUAAAGCCAACUCUCCACCCAGCGCAUCUAAGCCUGUGCCUCUUCUUGCCACCCUAGCAUCUCCUAAGCCAGAUACAGCAAAUGAAUGCCGGAAGCUCACUAUCAGAAUGUUCCAAGACCUUUCCAUAAUAAAAAAUAAGUAUUUUUUUUUAA